rnacentral:tRNA from 1 species
CAGUAAAUAAUUUAAAAAAAAUACUAAUCUUGGAAAUUAGAAAUAAUGACAUUUUUACUGA